UCAUGUUUGGCAGGCCUGUUUCUGUGCACCACAGCUCACUAAGGUGCUGCAGAACAGGGAGCCGAAACAAAAGCUAGCAAACCCCAGGCUUGGAACAAAACCUUGAGUGAACACUGUACGCACGGCCCACUAUCCUGGCAGCUGCUUCAGCAGUCGCUGCCUCCACCUUACUUGAGAGUUAGGGGACAGACACUGCAUGUUCAUGGCCCAGUGGCCACAGGUGCUCCAGGCACAGCUGCAAGUCCUCUCCUGAGCCCGUAAGAAAGGGACCCACAGUAAACUGACCAUGCUGCAUGGUGGCCCCAGGCACUCUGGGGCUGAUGGUCCUAGUAUAAGAUAAGGCUGCCUCAGACGUCCUUGCCAACCCAAGGUUGCUGCAGGGCUUUGAGCUCAGGAACUGAUAGCAAGCCCUACUCCCACGCUAGCCCAGAGGAACACACCUCCCAGUUCCCACCCUCAACCUACACAGCUCUUUUGACAGCCUGGCCUGUUUGUAACUUGAUGCAGCAUCGCUCUGCCUUGUAAUGACCUCUGUACUUAACGGGUGCGUUGUUCUCUUCCCUUGGUCUCCCCAAGGCAUCUCACACAUUGUUGCUGCCUCCAGACUAUGAUAAAUAAAGCCGUUUCCACUUGAACCCUUCA
rnacentral:lncRNA from 1 species